AUUGAACGCUGGCGGCAGGCUUAACACAUGCAAGUCGAGCGGGGUGAUGGUGCUUGCACUAUCACUUAGCGGCGGACGGGUGAGUAAUGCUUAGGAAUCUGCCUAUUAGUGGGGGACAACAUCUCGAAAGGGAUGCUAAUACCGCAUACGUCCUACGGGAGAAAGCAGGGGAUCACUUGUGACCUUGCGCUAAUAGAUGAGCCUAAGUCGGAUUAGCUAGUUGGUGGGGUAAAGGCCUACCAAGGCGACGAUCUGUAGCGGGUCUGAGAGGAUGAGCCGCCACACUGGGACUGAGACACGGCCCAGACUCCUACGGGAGGCAGCAGUGGGGAAUAUUGGACAAUGGGGGGAACCCUGAUCCAGCCAUGCCGCGUGUGUGAAGAAGGCCUUAUGGUUGUAAAGCACUUUCAGUGGGGAAGAAGGAUGUAUGGUUAAUACCCAUGCAUUUUGACGUUAACCACAGAAGAAGCACCGGCUAACUCUGUGCCAGCAGCCGCCGUAA
rnacentral:rRNA from 1 species